UCGAGAAUCUUCCGCAAUGGACGAAAGUCUGACGGAGCGACGCCGCGUGGUGGAUGAAGUCUUUCGGGACGUAAACACCUUUUAUGAGGGAAGAAGUUUAUUGACAUUACCUCAUGAAUAAGGGGCUCCCAAUUCUGUGCCAGCAGGAGCGGUAAUACAGAAGCCUCAAGCGUUACCCGGAUUUACUGGGCGUAAAGGAUGUGUAGGUGGUGUGAUUAGUCGGGCGUUAAAUCCUGAGGCUUAACCUCAG
rnacentral:rRNA from 1 species